GAUGAAGAACGCAGCGAAAUGCGAUACGUAGUGUGAAUUGCAGAAUUCAGUGAAUCAUCGAAUCUUUGAACGCACAUUGCACCUCUCGGUAUUCCGGGAGGUAUGCCUGUUCGAGCGUCAUUUGUACCCUCAAGCUCUGCUUGGUGUUGGGUGUUUGUUCCGCCUCUGUGUGUGAACUCGCCUCAAAACAAUUGGCAGCCGGCGUACUUGUUUCGGAGCGCAGCACAUUUUGCGAUCCAGAUCAACGUACAGCGGCAUCCAAGAAGCCUUAUUUAACGCUCUUGACCUCGGAUCUGGUAGGGAUACCCGCUGAACUUAAGCAUAUCAAUAAGCGGAGGA
rnacentral:misc_RNA from 1 species